rnacentral:sRNA from 1 species
UCCUCUAACAUGCGGGCGACGACAGCCC